rnacentral:lncRNA from 1 species
CAACCCAGAGUUGAACCAAAUCAUCAAUUUGGACCAAACCAAGCCUUAUUGCCCAAUCACAGGAAGAGAGAGAAAAAAAAUCUCAACUCCUUCCCCUCUCUCGACGCCGACAGCUCUCCCUCUCCCUUUCUUUCGGUCUCCGGCCACCUGCCACCAUUUUCGACAAAUGAACGCUCUAAAUGCACCUAUUCGAUGCAAGAAUCAAGAAUAUGGCCUCAAAUAGUGCUGUUAUUGCGCCGUUGGAGAGAAAUCGCAAUCUAAAGGGGCUGUUACUGUCGCAGCACAAUUUUCCGGCGAUUCUCGCCGUUCUCGAGGAGCUGGGGUGACAAGGUUAGCUCGAAUCGACUCCUUGCGACUGGGCGAGCAUUUCCCUCAGUCGAUUCAUGGGUUUAUCAGGAAAUGAGGAGACCACCGUGAACGGCGGUGAGGUUAGCUACUGUCGGCCUGAUUCCGGCCAAAUGGCUCAUCGGCUCGCUGAAUUGAUGUCGAAAUCGAACUCACCAUCAAAUUCCAAGCAGAGCAGUGGAAGCCUCGUGAAGUUCCCGUGAGACACGAUUUUCCGUCUACCGUGAACGGCAGCCCGCGAUGGAGAUCCGGUUAGACUCCGGCAGGGACUUAGAGGCAGAAUCGUCUACCCUAGAAGCUGAUCUCAAAUCCGCGAUCCAAUUUCAAAUUUGUGAGUUCUAGGCCUCACACUAACUUCUUUUGUAAAAUUUGAUUAAAGUUUAUUAAUUUAAUUAGAUCAAUUUAGUUUAGUUAAGUGGAUUGAUUUUGAAUGAGCUUAAGUAAAUACCAAUUUAGUUAAUUGAGUUAAUGGUUGAUAUAAAAGGUCAUGAAAUUAUACUCAGAUUUGAUAUCUAUAGUUACCAUUAUGAAUUGCACAAAUAAUGUUUCUAAAGUUUAAAUAUUAUUAUUGAAUAAUAAUUAAACUGCGAUUUGAUAUAAGAUAUGUGUGAUUUGAUAGUAAUCCUAGUUAAUGAUUAACAAUAGACUUGUGAAUGAUCGGGAUGCUAUUUAAACUGUGUAAUUGGAUUGAACGGUGAGUUAUAUAAUCAAAUUGAUGAUGUGAAAUGAUAGGUUCUGGGUUGUGUUGAUAAUGGAAGAAGGAAAGGCUUAAUUGAUUGAUUUACCUUAUAGAUGAGCUGUGAUUGUGUGCUAAAUUUCCUUGAAUUGGAAACAGGUAAAUUGUUCUAAUUAUAAGGGAGAUGUUGCCGGAUUUUCAGCUACGUAUCUUUAGAUAAUUAGAUUAAUUGUAUUAUUAUUUUUAAUCCGAAAUUGGGCUAAGGAUGUGAAGUAAUGUUAUUGACUUAGAAUAAAUGAAUGAACUAGAGAAGUAUAACUCGAUAUAAACUAGUUGAUUUAAAUAAAUGAUUAUAAAAAUCUUAUGUUAGGAUUUCUUAUUAGAGUUUCUUUUCUAGAUGCAUUAGUCACAAGGAUUUGCACGAUGAAAGCUGAUAAAGGAUUGGGAAUGAGAUUAGCUAUGCUUUUAGCAUACAGAAUGGUGAGUAGUGUUAGAUAACUUUUAUUGCGCAUUGCAUAUGCAUGCAAACAUACACGGAUAAAUAUUAUUCAUACGUACAUAAUACAGAAAUGUCAUCUAGGUAUAAUACAAUAUUUGAGGAAUUGUUAUUUGUGUUGCAUUACUUGUUUGGAUAUUGCUUGAUUAGUUGUGAUGCGUUACAUGUAUGCCUUGCUUGUGUGAAAUUGGAAUGAAGUGUGUAAGGGGAUCGGCUCCCUAACGCACACGUGAUGAUAGGGCGGGCCAUGUGUGAGGACGACUCGUCGAAGGUUUUCGUGACGUCAUUGACCAAUUUCCACUUGACGUAAUUUUGUGAAGUGCUAAUAUUUGUGAUUGCUGUUGUUAUGUCAUCUGAGUGAUUGACUGCGUGAUCAUAUAACUAGUCGGAGGACUAAGAUGAUUUAUAUAUGCACUUGUGCGACUGUGUGGGGUGAGAGGGUUCUCUAAACUCUAUUCAGUGAGUUUAGGCACUCACCCUUGAAUUAAUAUUUAUUUUUCCAGGUUACAGGUCUUCUAAUAUCUCGUCAUCCUCUAUCGUCAGAUGUCUAGAAGAUACCCCAAUAAAUAUUUUGAAAAUUUAAAUUCUUAGAUUGUUCCGCAAUUACGAUAGUUCUGUAUAAUUAAUUUAGAAAAUUAUUGAUGUAUUACUUAUAAAAGUUCCUAUUAUAUAAAUAUUAAUAUGGGCCUAAAAAACUUUGGAAAUUAAUUUACUAUUGAAUAUGAUGAUACGGGUCAAACGAGUGUUAAGACUUAUGAUAUUUGACUGUUGAUAAUAUUGGCCUAAGACCAUUUUCGUUGAACAGAAAAUUUAUUCUGGAUAUUUUUUUCUUUGGCUUACUACUGGUUUCAGUGGCUUUAAGCCUAUUCAGGUCCUAGUGUCGAUCUGGCUCAAGGUAACAGAGGUCAUGACAAAAAGAUUCAAAAAGUUAUUUUUGUCGUUUAAAUCAAUAAACUAGUUGUUACCAUAAAAAUGUAUAUUUUUUAUCAAAAUCAUCUUUAAGCAAAAAGAUCUAAUAUCACAUUUUUUAAUUUUAGUUUUAUACUUUUAUUAUUCAAAGAAUAUAAAUAAUUUUUUUAUUUGUUAAAACAUCAAUGAACCCUAUUAACUACGAUUAAUAAAAUUUGAUAUUAUUAUCAAUGAAUUAUAUAUAUAUAUAUAUAUAUAUAUAUAUAUAUUUUUUUUUUUUAAUAAAAGAUGAAAACCACACUUUUAAAAGAUUAUCAGGUAUUAAUGUUAUAUUUAUUGAUUUCUUUGCGAGGGUUUAUCACCAAAUAAAAGUAACGACGACUCCGUUUGUUUCCGUAAAAUAAUUUAUAGAAAAAUAUUUUUUAUAAUUUUUUGUUGUUUGGGGCGUUCGGAAAAAAUAUUUUCUUAGUUAAAGAAAAAUUAAAUCAUUUUUUAAAGAAAAUAACUUCUCAUUAUUUUCAAGAGGGUAAAAUAUUUUCCAGACAUUGAUAAAUCUUAUAAAUCUAUAUUUUUUUAAUUUAUUAAUCAUCGUAGUCACUGUCACCAGUCACCAUUUACCACCGAUCACUACCACUGGCUACCGGAGACUUUUAUAAUUUGUAUAUAUAUUUUUUUGCAUUCUUCUCAUAGUUAAUAAUAUAAUUUUUAAAUUAUAAAAUUUCUAUUAUUAUUAAUAUUUUUUAUAGUCUAUAAGAUAAAGACUUUAAUAUUUUUAACUAAUUUUCAAUAUUAUAACCAAACAAUGGAAAAUAAUUCAUUUAAAAAAUAUUUUUUAUAAAAUAUUUUUCAGUAAGCUAUUUUAUAGAAACAAACGGAGCAGACAUUUGAUUUUAUUUAUUUGGAGAAUUUAUAUUUUGAUUUCAGUGUGGCUUAUUUCUUCAUUUAUGUUAUCGAUGUAUAGUGGCAUCCAUAUUCGUCAUAUGCUAUAAAUUAUUUGAAAACGAUUCAAGUACAAAAGUGAAAUGACCCGAUAUAUUAUUUUCAAAACCUUUUAAAUUAAAAUUAAAUCAAAAUGCCAAAUAAUCUAGAUUUUAGCCAAUGAGAUAUUUUUCCGUCAAUAUUUUUAAUUUCAUUGGUUAAGGAAUAAUUGAGUAAGGUUGAACUAUAAGAAAAUCGGAUUAAAUCAUUUAUAAACCAAUUGAAAGUUCAACUGAACUAGACCAACCCAGAGUUGAACCAAAUCAUCAAUUUGGACCAAACCAAGCCUUAUUGCCCAAUCACAGGAAGAGAGAGAAAAAAAAUCUCAACUCCUUCCCCUCUCUCGACGCCGACAGCUCUCCCUCUCCCUUUCUUUCGGUCUCCGGCCACCUGCCACCAUUUUCGACAAAUGAACGCUCUAAAUGCACCUAUUCGAUGCAAGAAUCAAGAAUAUGGCCUCAAAUAGUGCUGUUAUUGCGCCGUUGGAGAGAAAUCGCAAUCUAAAGGGGCUGUUACUGUCGCAGCACAAUUUUCCGGCGAUUCUCGCCGUUCUCGAGGAGCUGGGGUGACAAGGUUAGCUCGAAUCGACUCCUUGCGACUGGGCGAGCAUUUCCCUCAGUCGAUUCAUGGGUUUAUCAGGAAAUGAGGAGACCACCGUGAACGGCGGUGAGGUUAGCUACUGUCGGCCUGAUUCCGGCCAAAUGGCUCAUCGGCUCGCUGAAUUGAUGUCGAAAUCGAACUCACCAUCAAAUUCCAAGCAGAGCAGUGGAAGCCUCGUGAAGUUCCCGUGAGACACGAUUUUCCGUCUACCGUGAACGGCAGCCCGCGAUGGAGAUCCGGUUAGACUCCGGCAGGGACUUAGAGGCAGAAUCGUCUACCCUAGAAGCUGAUCUCAAAUCCGCGAUCCAAUUUCAAAUUUGUGAGUUCUAGGCCUCACACUAACUUCUUUUGUAAAAUUUGAUUAAAGUUUAUUAAUUUAAUUAGAUCAAUUUAGUUUAGUUAAGUGGAUUGAUUUUGAAUGAGCUUAAGUAAAUACCAAUUUAGUUAAUUGAGUUAAUGGUUGAUAUAAAAGGUCAUGAAAUUAUACUCAGAUUUGAUAUCUAUAGUUACCAUUAUGAAUUGC